rnacentral:rRNA from 1 species
GACGAACGCUGGCGGUGUGCUUAACACAUGCAAGUCGAACGGUAAGGCCCUUUCGGGGGUACACGAGUGGCGAACGGGUGAGUAACACGUGAGUAACCUGCCCUCAUCUCUGGGAUAACAGUCGGAAACGGUUGCUAAUACUGGAUAUGAGCCUGCAAGGCAUCUUGUGGGUUGGAAAGAUUUUUUGGUUGGGGAUGGACUCGCGGCCUAUCAGCUUGUUGGUGAGGUAGUGGCUCACCAAGGCUUCGACGGGUAGCCGGCCUGAGAGGGCGACCGGCCACAUUGGGACUGAGAUACGGCCCAAACGCCUACGGGAGGCAGCAGGGGGGAAUAUUGCACAAGGGACGGAAGUCGGAUGCAGCAACGCCGCGGGCGGGAGGACGGCCUUCGGGUUGGAAACCGCUUUCAAUUGUGACGAAGCUUUUUGUGACGGUAGCAGUAGAAGAAGCACCGGCUAACUACGUG